UAGGGAAUAUUGGGCAAUGGAUGCAAGUCUGACCCAGCCAUGCCGCGUGCCGGAUGAAGGCCCUCAGGGUUGUAAACGGCUUUUAUUCGGGAAGAAGAAUGGGGAUGCGUCCCUUAGUGACGGUACCGAAUGAAUAAGCACCGGCUAACUCCGUGCCAGCAGCCGCGGUAAUACGGAGGGUGCGAGCGUUGUCCGGAUUUAUUGGGUUUAAAGGGUGCGUAGGUGGCCCUGUAAGUCAGUGGUGAAAUACAGCCGCUUAACGGUUGAGGUGCCAUUGAUACUGCAGGGCUUGAAACAAGUGGAGGCUGCCGGAAUGGAUGGUGUAGCGGUGAAAUGCAUAGAUAUCAUCCAGAACACCGAUUGCGAAGGCAGGUGGCUACGUUUGAUUUGACACUGAGGCACGAAAGCAUGGGGAGCAAACAG
rnacentral:rRNA from 1 species